rnacentral:rRNA from 1 species
CACGCAGGCGGUCUGUUAAGUCAGAUGUGAAAUCCCCGGGCUUAACCUGGGAACUGCAUUUGAAACUGGCAGGCUUGAGUCUCGUAGAGGGGGGUAGAAUUCCAGGUGUAGCGGUGAAAUGCGUAGAGAUCUGGAGGAAUACCGGUGGCGAAGGCGGCCCCCUGGGCCUGCACUGACGCUCAUGCACGAAAGCGUGGGGAGCAAACAGGAUUAGAUACCCCUGUA